rnacentral:rRNA from 1 species
AUACGGAGGGAGCGAGCGUUAAUCGGAAUUACUGGGCGUAAAGCGCGCGUAGGCGGCUUUGUAAGUCGGAUGUGAAAGCCCUGGGCUCAACCUGGGAAUGGCAUUCGAUACUGCAGAGCUAGAGUAUGGUAGAGGGAAGUGGAAUUUCCGGUGUAGCGGUGAAAUGCGUAGAUAUCGGAAGGAACACCAGUGGCGAAGGCGACUUCCUGGGCCAAUACUGACGCUGAGGUGCGAAAGCGUGGGGAGCAAACAGGAUUAGAAACCCCAGUAGUCC